rnacentral:lncRNA from 1 species
AUGUGUUAUUUACAGUUUGUUUGUAUUCAUUCCCAGGCCGUGAAUAAUUUUACAAAGGAGCAAAUCUGCAGCCAAAGCUUUAAAAGUACACCCAGCACUUCCAGAUCCCAAGAUUGUACUCCUCGACCAAGUCCUGCCCCCACCCCACCACCUCAGAGCCAGCCUGAGAAGUCACAGGUAGCAGACAUACACCCAGUUAUCAGUUCUGACUCACCUCCCAGCUCAUCCAGCACCUCCCUAAAUGUUGUGAAAGUUCUUAAUGAGAUACCUGAGAAAGAGGCUGAUCUGAAGAAAAACAGUUCACCUGCAGCAAGCCCCUCUGUGCUGGUUCCAGACGCAGACCUCUGUGAUACUGGGCCGCAGCCAACUCCACUUGUGACCACAGAUACACAAGCAGUGGUAGAAGAUUCUAAAUCAGGUUCCACAUCACAGUGUGAUGAGGCCCCACUCUGGGACAGAUCCACUUCAGUGAGUGUCAGUGAGGGCUGGACUGCAAUAAGUACCCAUCCUCCUGCUUCCUCAACGUCCACAUUUUUACUUCCUCAUUCUCCUAAUAUCACCCCUUCACAUUUUCAAACAAUCCUGCAACAGCAGCCUCUGAGUAGUUACCCUCCUGGUUUCUCCAUAACCGCACCCCUGUGGCCUUCAGGGUCCAGCCCCCAGGGGACACCCAUCCCUGCCUACACCUCAUCACCCAUCCCCCUCUCCUCCCCAAAGAGUUUAUGCUGUACCACAGAAGGAACACAGAAAGGACCCCUCCAAGAGGACCAUCGUACAAUGCAUCAUGUCUCUAUAGUUCAAAGUCCCGUAGAUCUAAAAGCCCUCGUUCUUCCAGCAGAUCACCCUCUCGAUCCAGGUCCCACGACAGAACGCGACAUUAUUCCCCGUACUCCAGUCACAGAGGCCCGUCCAGUCGCUCUCACUCGUCCCGUUCAUACAGCCACAAGCGCGCUCACUCGCCAACCACUACCUCUCCUCCAAAUUCACAUUCCCAGGUCAGGUCAAGAUCACCGGUAG